GUAAGUUCUAAGAAGCUCCUUGAAAAGCAAUAUGAUUUAAUGUGGGGACAAAUCAAAUCCAAAUCAAGUUGUCAUAUGGUACGCCUGUAUAGAGAUGGGCAAGUCCUGAUCUAGAUGAGUCAUGUAUUAUGGAUAAAUCUCUUGAUCCAUGACACUUUUAGAGGUCAUAUCCUUAUUUUAUAUGGGUAACUAUCCGUAUUUCAAAUUUAUUUGUUGCUAAUCAUUUGGUAUCCUUAUUUGUUAUGGUAAGUCAUUAGUUUUACAGGGGCAAUAGAGACAGAUUAAUUAAAGUGUAAGAUGGAUUCAAGAUCAUUUAUUCGGGUCGAAGAUCAGUCAUUCUGGUUGUAAGUCGAUGAAGUAGGAAUUUAUUGUUUGAAAGUCAACUAACCAGCUUAUGCCUUCAAUUCAUUUUGGACCAUGUAAAGGGAUAUUUAGAAUUAUAUGCAAAGACAAAAGUAUAUUUUGCAACCGCUGUACUAUGCGUGUGCUGCUGAGUUUUUUUUAUCAAGCUGGAUGAUGAUGUCAAUGUGAAGAUAGAUGCAUAUAUUUCCAUGCUAUUCUGGCCAUAGCACUCUGAGUUUGUUAGGAUCGCGGCAAAUAAGUUUGGAGCCAAAAUAUACCAUUUAGUGUCGUUGGGGAAGAUAAUGCUGGUGAAGUAUGGUUCAUCUCUAUUAUUUCUAUUUCGAAAGAUUCAUGUAUGUACUAAUGACAAGCUACAUCCCCACUUUUAUGAAAUAGCGGAUGCCUUUAGCAGUCAUGUGAGUUAUAUUUGUUCAUA